CGGACCCCCCCCCCCGAUAGAGAGGGACCCGGAGGAUGUCUCUGCUGUGAUCUAAAUGCAGGACAGCCGAAAACCCGAAGGAGGAAUCAACAUUCCAGGACACAGACGCUUGAUAAGCUAAACUACACUGCAGCAGCCUACGAACCGAGGAAGGUGAAGAUAGAACAUCCUG